rnacentral:rRNA from 1 species
UACGGGGGUGGCGAGCGUUACUCGGAUUUAUUGGGUGUAAAGGGCAGGUAGGUGGCUACAUAAGUUGAGGGUGAAAUCCUGCGGCUUAACCGCAGAACUGCCUUCAAAACUGCGUAGCUUGAGGCUAGAAGAGGGGAGCGGAAUUCCCGGUGUAAGGGUGAAAUCUGUAGAUAUCGGGAGGAACACCAGUGGCGAAAGCGGCUCUCUAGGCUAGUCCUGACACUAAUCUGCGAAAGCUAGGGUAGCAAACAGG